rnacentral:rRNA from 1 species
UUAGACAUGCAAGUGGAACCACAGGUUGCACGGUAGUAUACUCCACCCUUUUUUUAUGAGUUGUGAACGGGUAAGUAACGCGUAGGUAACCUGCCUGGUAGCGGGGGAUAACUAUGGAAACGAUAGCUAAUACCGCAUAAGAACAUUUACUGCAUGGUAGAUGUUUAAAAGGUGCAAGAGCAUCACUACCCAGAUGGACCUGCGUUGUAUUAGCUAGUUGGUGAGGUAACGGCUCACCAAGGCAACGAUACAUAGCCGACCUGAGAGGGUGAUCGGCCACACUGGGACUGAGACACGGCCCAGACUCCUACGGGAGGCAGCAGUAGGGAAUCUUCGGCAAUGGGGGAAACCCUGACCGAGCAACGCCGCGUGAGUGAAGAAGGUUUUCGGAUCGUAAAGCUCUGUUGUUAAGGAAGAACGUGUGUGAGAGUGGAAAGUUCACACAGUGACGGUACUUAACCAGAAAGGGACGGCUAACUACGUGCCAGCAGCCGCGGUAAUACGUAGGUCUCGAGCGUUGUCCGGAUUUAUUGGGCGUAAAGCGAGCGCAGGCGGUUAGAUAAGUCUGAAGUGAAAGGCAGUGGCUCAACCAUUGUAGGCUUUGGAAACUGUUUAACUUGAGUGCAGAAGGGGAGAGUGGAAUUCCAUGUGUAGCGGUGAAAUGCGUAGAUAUAUGGAGGAACACCGGUGGCGAAAGCGGCUCUCUGGUCUGUAACUGACGCUGAGGCUCGAAAGCGUGGGGAGCGAACAGG